UACGUAGGGUGCGAGCGUUUGUUCGGAAUUACUGGGCGUAAAGCGCGCGUAGGCGGACCUGCAAGUCGGGGGUGAAAGCCCGAGGCUCAACCUCGGAACUGCCUUCGAUACUGCGGGUCUCGAGUCCGGGAGAGGUGAGUGGAAUUCCUAGUGUAGAGGUGAAAUUCGUAGAUAUUAGGAAGAACACCAGUGGCGAAGGCGGCUCACUGGCCCCGGUACUGACGCUGAGGCG
rnacentral:rRNA from 1 species